rnacentral:rRNA from 1 species
ACUCCUACGGGAGGCAGCAGUGGGGAAUAUUGCACAAUGGGCGCAAGCCUGAUGCAGCCAUGCCGCGUGUAUGAAGAAGGCCUUCGGGUUGUAAAGUACUUUCAGCAGUGAGGAAGGUUCAUGCGUUAAUAGCGUAUGGAUUUGACGUUAGCUGCAGAAGAAGCACCGGCUAACUCCGUGCCAGCAGCCGCGGUAAUACGGAGGGUGCGAGCGUUAAUCGGAAUUACUGGGCGUAAAGCGCAUGCAGGUGGUUUGUUAAGUCAGAUGUGAAAGCCCGGGGCUCAACCUCGGAAUUGCAUUUGAAACUGGCAGACUAGAGUACUGUAGAGGGGGGUAGAAUUUCAGGUGUAGCGGUGAAAUGCGUAGAGAUCUGAAGGAAUACCGGUGGCGAAGGCGGCCCCCUGGACAGAUACUGACACUCAGAUGCGAAAGCGUGGGGAGCGAAACAGGAUUAGAUACCCUGGUAGGAUAGCG